AUUGAACGCUGGCGGCAUGCUUUACACAUGCAAGUCGGACGAGUGGCGAACGGGUGAGUAACAUAGCGGAACGUACCGAGUAAUGGGGGAUAACUAAUCGAAAGAUUAGCUAAUACCGCAUAUUAUUCGAGCGGCCGAUAUCUGAUUAGCUGGCGGGUGGGGUAAAGGCCUACAAAGGCGACGAUCAGUAGCGGGUCUGAGAGGAUGAUCCGCCACACUGGGACUGAGACACGGCCCAGACUCCUACGGGAGGCAGCAGUGGGGAAUUUUGGACAAUGGGCGCAAUCCUGAUCCAGCCAUGCCGCGUGUCUGAAGAAGGCUUUCGGGUUGUAAAGUACUUUCAGUCGGGAGGCGUUACCCACAGAGGAAGCACCGGCUAACUCCGUGCCAGCAGCCGCGGUAAUAC
rnacentral:rRNA from 1 species